CUCCGAAAGGAGGAUUAAUACUUCGUAACCUUUGAGAGUGGCAUCACUUUCUUAGUAUAGCUCCGGCGGUUAUGGAUGAGCGUGCGGCUGAUUAGGUAGUUGGCGGGGUAACGGCCCACCAAGCCUGCGAUCAGUAACUGGUGUGAGAGCACGACCAGUCACACGGGCACUGAGACACGGGCCCGACUCCUACGGGAGGCAGCAGUAAGGAAUAUUGGUCAAUGGACGCAAGUCUGAACCAGCCAUGCCGCGUGAAGGAUGAAGGUCCUCUGGAUUGUAAACUUCUUUUAUAGGGGACGAAACCCGGGUAUUCUUACCCGAUUGACGGUACCCUAGGAAUAAGCACCGGCUAACUCCGUGCCAGCAGCCGCGGUAAUACGGAGGGUGCAAGCGUUAUCCGGAUUCACUGGGUUUAAAGGGUGCGUAGGAGGGCAGGUAAGUCCGUGGUGAAAUCUCUGAGCUUAACUCAGAAACUGCCGUGGAUACUAUCUGUCUUGAAUACCGUGGAGAUGAGCGGAAUAUGUCAUGUAGCGGUGAAAUGCUUAGAUAUGACAUAGAACACCAAUUGCGAUGCAGCUCGUUACACGAAUAUUGACUCUGAGCACGAAGCGUGGGGAUCAAACAGAUUAGAUACCCUGUA
rnacentral:rRNA from 1 species